rnacentral:lncRNA from 1 species
UCGAAACCAACAAAUGCAUAGAAACAGGUCGCUGCUCCACGGAGAAUUCCCUCGAAGCCGAAAGGCACAAAUCCUCCAGAGCCCAGAGGACCCAAGCUAGAGUGGAAGAAGGGUUGGAGAAGGUUCUGUACCUAUACAAGAAAAUACAUGGAAUACAAAGACUUCUACAAGUUUGCCUCAUGGAAGGGAGCCAAUAUGAUCUGAGCACCUGCAGAUAAGAGAAAAGGCACUUGAGGAGGAGUGGUUGAGUUAGAUGAACCAGCUGCUUCUGAAGAAGGGGCAGACGUAUGUACGUUUUAAAGCUGAGAGCUGUGAAGGAAGAAAGAGCCCCUAAAAGACAGGAAUAAGAAGACACAAACAUACUGUGUAGGAAAUGGAGGUCAUUCUAAAGCUAUCUGGAAACAGUCACCAUGGUGACUGUGCUCACGUAGUGAGACAUAAUAAUACCAUAGUAGGGUGAACCUGGCAGACCAUUGCAAUACAAGUUUCCUGCUUUGACAUCUUA